rnacentral:rRNA from 1 species
GACGAACGCUGGCGGCGUGCCUAAUACAUGCAAGUAGAACGCUGAAGGAGGAGCUUGCUUCUCUGGAUGAGUUGCGAACGGGUGAGUAACGCGUAGGUAACCUGCCUGGUAGCGGGGGAUAACUAUUGGAAACGAUAGCUAAUACCGCAUAAUAGCAGUUGUUGCAUGACAACUGUUUGAAAGGUGCAAUUGCACCACUACCAGAUGGACCUGCGUUGUAUUAGCUAGUUGGUGGGGUAACGGCUCACCAAGGCGACGAUACAUAGCCGACCUGAGAGGGGGAUCGGCCACACUGGGACUGAGACACGGCCCAGACUCCUACGGGAGGCAGCAGUAGGGAAUCUUCGGCAAUGGACGGAAGUCUGACCGAGCAACGCCGCGUGAGUGAAGAAGGUUUUCGGAUCGUAAAGCUCUGUUGUAAGAGAAGAACGAGUGCGAGAGUGGAAAGUUCACACUGUGACGGUAUCUUACCAGAAAGGGACGGCUAACUACGUG